GCGGUGUUAUCUCAGGCGGACAGAGCAAUUGCCUUCAAAGCAAUCGGUCACUUGUUCGAAUCCAGUACAGCGCGCUA
rnacentral:tRNA from 1 species